GACAGAGGAUGCAAACGUUGCUCGGAAUUACUGGGCGUAAAGCGCAUGUAGGCGGUCCGGUAAGUCAGGUGUGAAAUCCCGGGGCUCAACCUCGGAAGGGCACAUGAUACUGCCGGACUUGAGUACUGGAGAGGAGAGUGGAAUUCCCGGUGUAGAGGUGAAAUUCGUAGAUAUCGGGAGGAACACCAGUGGCGAAGGCGACUCUCUGGACAGAUACUGACGCUGAGGUGCGAAAGCGUGGGGAGCAAACAGG
rnacentral:rRNA from 1 species